rnacentral:miRNA from 1 species
CUUGGCACCGAAGAAUUCACAG